UCGGGAAUUUUGGGCAAUGGGGGGAACCCUGAUCCAGCAAUGCCGCGUGUGUGAAGAAGGCCUGAGGGUUGUAAAGCACUUUCAGAGGGGAGGAGGACUAUUAGGUUAAGAGCUAGAUAGUUGGACGUUACCCUCAGAAGCAGCACCGGCUAACUUCGUGCCAGCAGCCGCGGUAAUACGAAGGGGGCUAGCGUUGUUCGGAAUUACUGGGCGUAAAGCGCGCGUAGGCGGCUUUGCAAGCCAGAGGUGAAAUGCCUGAGCUCAACUUAGGAAUUGCCUUUGGGACUGCGAGGCUUCGAGGACUGGAGAGGUGAGUGGAAUUCCCAGUGUAGAGGUGAAAUUCGUAGAUAUUGGGAAGAACACCAGUGGCGAAGGCGGCUCACUGGCCAGUUUCUGACGCUAAAGUGCGAAAGCGUGGGGAUCAAACAGGAUUAGAUACCCAAGUAGUCCCUGAGCGGGCUGGCAAGGCGCAU
rnacentral:rRNA from 1 species